UGCCCCUCCCCUGCUCUGGCACACUCUCUUGCUCUCUCACUCUCAAAAUAAAUAAAUAAACUUAAGAAAAAAGAUAUAAAAAACAAAGCUAGAGUGUGGGGUGUAGAUACAUUAGCAAAAGUAAAAGCAGAGAGGAGCGAAAUAGUAUGCAGACAGGGCAAUCUGGUGAGCUCAGUAACACCAGGUAGUAAGUGAAGUAAAUGCCCGCAGAUGAGCCUGGAGGGCUGAGGAAAGAACAGCACUACAAUGAGGACUUUAUAUGCCCGGCUAUGACAGGUGGACUCAAUUCUAUAGAUCAGUGUUUCUCACGGUUGAGAAAACAGCGUGCAACCUCACACUGUGAGUUAACUGAAGAAAAUGAGAAACUGUGUCCUAUUUCUCAAAUGUGCCUAAAUAUUACUAGUAAGUAUCUCACAGAGAGAUGGCGCUCAAGAUGGGACUGAGUGAACACCAAGGUUUCCCAACUUGGGCACUAUUGCCAUUUUGGGCCAAGUAAUUCUUCCUUGUUGGGGAAGAUACUCUUGCACUGCAGCGUGUUUAGUAGCAUCCUUGCCUCUGUAUACAACAUACCGCUUCAGAAUAUUGACACACGAUAAGAAACGAUAAAAAAGGCAAUCUUCUUGAAAUGAAAAUGCACAUAACCUGCGGUGCCUUCUGUUCAUAGAUGUAUUUCUCAGAAGACUAUGCUGCUCAGGGAAGGAUUAAGGGUACACAGUGCAAAGCAUCUCCCAUCACGACUCCUUAAGAAGUAUGGAAGCCCUGCAAGCAGCGAUGCUGCUGGUAGAAAUGCCGAACAACGGUUCUAUUUCAUAUGUAAUGGCAUCAUCUCCUGAGUCACUGAAUUGAUGGCCGGUACAACCAUUUGCUUAAGGCUGUGUUUUAUGUCACUUCGCUAAGCCUAAAAAGUUACCUAAAUGGAUGUUACCUGAA